CGUAGUCGGUCGCGGUCCAGGGAACGAGAUUGGUUAAAUUGGUCUGAUCAGAGAGACCUAGAAUACGGUGCAAGUUCAAGGUCUGAUUACUUUGAGAAGAGAGAUGAUGCCCAACAACAGAGGCAAGACGCCUUCAUCGCGAGGAGUGUGUGGACCCCUUGACCUAAGGAGACUGGUGUCCAUUUCAAUAAAUGGCCCGAAUGUGAAUUUCAAAUUUUUUGAACUCUUCCAACAAGAACAUGCAGAAAGGUAUGGAGGUUCUCAACUUGUUGCUGUGGGGAGCUGUGGACUCCACAUGUUACAUACACAAUGCUGUCAAAAGUGGCUUUUCCAUGUGACAAGUGGAGAAACUGCUGAGAGCCAUGCACACAUUAUUCCACAAUGUGCCAGCAAGGAGAGAAGACUACAUUGCUGUGACCAAGUCCACCGUCUUCCCUUUAUUUUUCUGUGGUCACCGGUGGCUUGAAAACGAGCCUGUGAUUGAGAGGGCUCUUGAAGUUUGGCUAUCACGUACACAGUAUAUGGAUGCAGUGAGAAGAAAUCAACUCCCAAAACCUGGGACAGCAUCUUUUGACACAGUGGUGGAAGCCAUGAAGGACACUCUCAUCGUGGCCAAGUUACUCUUCUCCUUGACUGUUGCCAGGCAUUUCAAUCCCUUUUUGAAAAGGUAUCAAACAGAUGAGCCAGUGAUGCCUUUCGUCAUCAAUUGGUUGAGUUGAUCAAGGUAGUGAUUUAUAUGGAUAGCUCUUUACAUUAUCAGCACAGAACCAUUGCCACUACUGAUUAGGCCUAUUUUAUGUAUGCACUUUUGUUAAUGAAGAAUAAGUAAUUUAAUUGGAAUUAUGAUGUCAUAUAUAUGGCUAUAUAUUUUUAUAAAUGUGGAUACUUCUGAGAUUAUCUUUUGGCAGAGUCUACUGAGACAAUUCAUUAAGAGAGAGGUCCUCAAGGACAUUACCACACUUCUAACCAAACUGGAUGUAGCUGACAAGAAGAACUGGCUCCAACAAAAGGACAUUGACAUCGGCUUGGGUGCUGAGUCAGCCCCCAAGGUGAUGUCAGUCUCCAACAAUUUGAAGCCUUCCUGUCUGUUGAGUGCAGAAGUGAGGAGUUCCUCUCCUCCCCACCUAUGCAAAAAAGGCUUGAUGUCUUCUUGAACAGUUUCCUUAUUAAUUACCAGGAGCUUCAGAUUUUGUCUCAUGGACAGGCCACUAUUGAGAGAGGCUUUUCUGUUAAUAAAGAAAUCGAAACCUGCAACAUGCAAGAGGACACUUUAGUAGCUCAGAGGCUGGUAUGUGACUGUCACCUGACACGGGGGUAUUACCAAAAUCCACCUGAAAAAAAGAACUCUUGAGUUCGGUGGCUUCAGCCAGGACCAGGUACAAUCUUUACCUUGAGACAGAGAGAAAGAGUCCGUUGCACAGGGCCAAAAGAGAAAGGUGGCAUAACUUGAAAGAACUCAAAAAAGAAAGAACACUGUACAAACAGUUGCUGCAAGUCUUUCCAGAGAUGCAGACAAAUUUGCAGAGGAGGCUGAGUUCAAGGCUGGCAGUCAGAUGGCUCCGCUAAUAACCAAGUCAAAAGCUCUGUGGAGGGCCAGCAAGAAAUCAGCUGAGCUCAAGAACAUUGAGGAAGAGAUUCUGGCCAAGGGAGAAGAGCUGAGAUUAAUGUAGUACACACACAGACACACACUCACGCAUCCGCAAACUCACGCCAAGAUGUUUGUAUAUUUAUUCUGUAAUUCAACAAUGCAUUAACCUG